rnacentral:rRNA from 1 species
UACGUAGGUGACAAGCGUUGUCCGGAUUUACUGGGCGUAAAGAGCGCGCAGGCGGUCGUUCAAGUCGAGUGUGAAAGCCCCCGGCUCAACUGGGGAGGGUCACUCGAUACUGAUCGACUCGAAGGCAGGAGAGGGAAGUGGAAUUCCCGGUGUAGUGGUGAAAUGCGUAGAUAUCGGGAGGAACACCAGUGGCGAAGGUGACUUCCUGGCCUGUUCUUGACGCUGAGGCGCGAAAGCUAGGGGAGCAAACGGG